AGUUUUUACCGUUAAAGACAAAGAGGUCAAUCAACAAAGGCUCUCCACACUCCACUUCGACUCAAUACAUCCUCGGCGUACAGAACGGUAACGUGUCGCUCCAAAUGUCUGAGCGCGGGUAUACAGGGAGAGCCAACCCCAUGGGACGAUGGAAGAUAUGGCUAAAUUGAGCGGA
rnacentral:ribozyme from 1 species